rnacentral:rRNA from 1 species
AGCGAACGCUGGCGGCAGGCUUAACACAUGCAAGUCGAGCGGGCAUCUUCGGAUGUCAGCGGCAGACGGGUGCGUAACCCGUGGGAACGUACCCUUCGGUUCGGAACAACUCUGGGAAACUGGAGCUAAUACCGGAUACGCCCUUAUGGGGAAAGGUUUACUGCCGAAGGAUCGGCCCGCGUCUGAUUAGCUAGUUGGUGGGGUAACGGCCUACCAAGGCGACGAUCAGUAGCUGGUCUGAGAGGAUGAUCAGCCACACUGGGACUGAGACACGGCCCAGACUCCUACGGGAGGCAGCAGUGGGGAAUAUUGGACAAUGGGCGCAAGCCUGAUCCAGCCAUGCCGCGUGAGUGAUGAAGGCCUUAGGGUUGUAAAGCUCUUUUGUCCGGGACGAUAAUGACGGUACCGGAAGAAUAAGCCCCGGCUAACUUCGUG